AGCCUUCUCUAUCCGUGUUGAGAUUUCGUCACACAACAGACCACAAGGGCUGAUAAGACUCCCAAGAUAAGUGAAGCG
rfam:Schistosoma rodhaini strain Burundi genome assembly, scaffold: SROB_contig0000492